GACGGUCUAAAAGUGCCGAACA
rnacentral:miRNA from 1 species